rfam:Dipodomys ordii contig_60402, whole genome shotgun sequence.
GGUGGCUCAGUGGCAGAGUGCUUGCCUUGCAUGCAUGAGGUCCUGGGUUCAAUUCCUCAGCACCA